CCUACGGGAGGCAGCAGUGGGGAAUAUUGGACAAUGGGCGCAAGCCUGAUCCAGCCAUGCCGCGUGAGUGAUGAAGGCCUUAGGGUUGUAAAGCUCUUUUAUCCGGGACGAUAAUGACGGUACCGGAGGAAUAAGCCCCGGCUAACUUCGUGCCAGCAGCCGCGGUAAU
rnacentral:rRNA from 1 species